AUAAGCGAUAGAUUUAUCGAGCAAAAUACUGUGUUGCCCCGAUGAAGUUAUUGAACAUCUUAUAGAAGACCUCGAUGUGUCAGCGCUGAAGACAAAACGAGUAUACUUAAGUUAACUUCGUUAACUUAAAGUUAUA